CUGAGCUGUGGGGAGGUUGGAGACGGGUUAUUAAACCAAGCUGGAGUGGACUCGUUAAUCUGGUUACAGGUCAGCUAUGAGAGCUGCUUAGGGUGUGCUGAGGAGAAGAGGGAGGUGACGGCAUGGUUGAAGACCAUGGUCGGGGAAAGUGGGACCACGUCCAGGCUGUUCUACCAACUGGUUGAUAGGUUUUUCUAUUUCUUCUUGACUCAAUUUUCCUCAUUUACGCUUUCCUCGAACAUUGGGCCAUUUCAUAUUCAUCGAUGGAAUUCUAGAAGACAGAUUUUCUUCGUACACUUCAACCAAAACAACAUAUCACAACAGAUGGAAUGCAGGAGCCGAUCUUCUACAAAGCCCGAUAGUUAAAAGAUUUGCAAACAGAUCUGGGGAUGAAGAGAAAGAUUGCAG
rnacentral:lncRNA from 1 species